CCCUGAUAGUUCAAUUUGUAAAAAAAUCUGCCUGCAAUGCAGAAGACCUGGGUUCGAUUCCUGGGUCAGAAA
rnacentral:tRNA from 1 species